rnacentral:rRNA from 1 species
GAUGAACGCUGGCGGCGUGCCUAAUACAUGCAAGUCGAGCGAACAGACGAGGAGCUUGCUCCUCUGACGUUAGCGGCGGACGGGUGAGUAACACGUGGAUAACCUACCUAUAAGACUGGGAUAACUUCGGGAAACCGGAGCUAAUACCGGAUAAUAUAUUGAACCGCAUGGUUCAAUAGUGAAAGACGGUUUUGCUGUCACUUAUAGAUGGAUCCGCGCCGCAUUAGCUAGUUGGUAAGGUAACGGCUUACCAAGGCAACGAUGCGUAGCCGACCUGAGAGGGUGAUCGGCCACACUGGAACUGAGACACGGUCCAGACUCCUACGGGAGGCAGCAGUAGGGAAUCUUCCGCAAAGGGCGAAAGCCUGACGGAGCAACGCCGCGUCAGUGAUGAAGGUCUUCGGAUCGUAAAACUCUGUUAUUAGGGAAGAACAAAUGUGUAAGUAACUAUGCACGUCUUGACGGUACCUAAUCAGAAAGCCACGGCUAACUACGUG